GGCCUACCAUGGUUUUAACGGGUAACGGAGAAUUAGGGUUCGAUUCCGGAGAGGGAGCCUGAGAAACGGCUACCACAUCCAAGGAAGGCAGCAGGCGCGCAAAUUACCCAAUCCUGAUUCAGGGAGGUAGUGACAAUAAAUAACAAUACAUGGUAUUUAUUAUCGUGUAAUUGGAAUGAGUACAAUUUAAAUCCCUUAAUGAGGAACAAUUGGAGGGCAAGUCUGGUGCCAGCAGCCGCGGUAAUUCCAGCUCCAAUAGCGUAUAUUAAAGUUGUUGCAGUUAAAAAGCUCGUAGUUGAAUUUCUGAUGGGAGCCAUUGGUCUUUUCGCAAGAAAUGUACUUGUGCGUUCCCAUCCAAUUUCUGCAAUCGGGGCAUGCUCUUAAGUGGGUGUGUUACGAGUGCAGAGCAUUUACUUUGAAAAAAUUAGAGUGUUCAAAGCAAACUUUUGUUUGAAUAUGUUAGCAUGGAAUAAUGACAUAGGACAUCAGUUCUAUUUUGUUGGUUUAUAGGACUGGGGUAAUGAUUAAUAGGGAUAGUUGGGGGCAUUAGUAUUUAAUUGUCAGAGGUGAAAUUCUUGGAUUUAUGAAAGACUAACUUCUGCGAAAGCAUUUGCCAGGGAUGUUUUCAUUAAUCAAGAACGAAAGUUAGGGGAUCGAAGACGAUCAGAUACCGUCGUAGUCUUAACCAUAAACUAUGCCGACUAGGGAUCGGAUGAUGUUGAUUUUUUAAUGACUCAUUCGGCACCUUACG
rnacentral:rRNA from 1 species